AAAUUUCUUUUCAUGUCAGGUCUUCAGGCAAGGCAGGAGGUCCACUCCAUUGGAUAUUGUAGAAGAAAUUCCUCUUUAGGUAUGGAUUAGAAUAAAGUUACCCUGUGACCCCUUCCAAAUCUAGGAGAAAAAGAGAGAGAGAGGGAGGGCAGAAGGGGGACAGGAUAUGCUUCCACAGGCUGGUGCUUCGGUAAAAUUCCACUGGGGUAGGAGGAGACAACACUUAUGAAAGGGCCUCAAGAAACUGGGUGCAGACAUUAGCCUGAGCUCAGGAAAAUGAAUGUGCUGAGUCUUAUUAACUUUGUAUUCUGGUUUUCAGAGCAAGACAAAUUCUUGAGUUUGUUAUUUUAAAAUGGAGAAAUAUGAGAACCUAGGUCUGGUUGGUGAAGGCAGCUAUGGAGCAGUGAUGAAGUGUAAGAAUAAAAAUAAUGGAAGAAUAGUGGCCAUCAAGAAAUUCCUGGAGAGUGAAGAUAAUAAAACAGUUAAAAAAAUUGUUACUCGAGAAAUCAAAUUAUUGAAGCAAUUGAGGCAUGAAAAUUUGGUGACUCUCCUGGAAGCGUUUAAGAAAAGGAAACGAUGGUACCUAGUAUUUGAAUUUGUAGAUCACACUAUACUUGAUGACUUGGACCUCUUUCCAAAUGGACUGGAAUACCCAAACGUUCAAAAGUAUUUGUUUCAGAUAAUUAAAGGAAUUGAAUUUUGUCAUAAUCACAAUAUUAUACACAGAGAUAUAAAGCCAGAGAACAUACUGAUCUCCAAGUCUGGAGUAGUGAAGCUGUGUGACUUUGGAUUUGCUCGCAUGUUGGGAGCACCUGGGGAAGUGUACACUGAUUAUGUGGCAACUCGUUGGUACAGAGCUCCAGAGCUUUUGGUUGGAGACAUAAAGUAUGGCAAGGCUGUUGAUAUAUGGGCCAUUGGUUGUUUGUUGAUUGAAAUGUUCACAGGGCAGCCCAUUUUUCCUGGGGAUUCUGAUAUUGAUCAACUGUAUCAUAUUGUGAAAUGUUUGGGGAAUUUAAUUCCAAGACAUCAGGAACUGUUCUAUAAGAACCAGCUCCUUGCCAAAGUGAAAUUGCCUGAAGCUGAAGUAGCCCAGUCUCUUGAAAGCCGCUUCCCAAAGCUCCCCACAGUGGUGAUUGAUAUAGCAAAGAAAUGUUUACAGAUUGAUCCUGACAAAAGGCCCUUCUGUGAUGAGCUCCUGCACCAUGACUUCUUUAACCAGGAUGGGUUUGCUGAGAGAUUUUCUGAGGAGUUAAAAUUAAAGAUACAGAAAGAUGCCAGAGAACUUUCUUCAUUAAAAUUAUCUAAAGUUAGUAAAAAGGAAAAAUCUGAUUCUUCAAGUAAAGAAAGAAAAACACUUGUUACAAAGGAUGUCAAUGCUGAUCCUGCAACUAGGAAUUCUAAAUUGAUCAAAAUAAAGCCACCAAAAGGCAAUAGUGAAAAGAUUGAAAAACCCAGCAGAACAUCCCAUCCCAGCUGUUGCCCUGACAAUGGAAUGAAUCAGAUAAGGACAAUUUAUCCAGGCACCUUUGGAUUCCCCAGCAACGGCAGUAUAGAUUACACAAAGAAUCCCAGCAUGGUGAUUCCUCCAGUUAUACACAAUAUUUCUAGCAUUGCUUGCAAUGUAAAUUCAGGAAUGGGGUCCAUUCUAGGAGGUCAUGCUUACAGGGUGGAUGAAAAAUCUAAAAAGAACUAUAUUCCACUUGUUAAAUUGGGUAGCCAUUAUAAUGCUAACCUGACUACAUUGGUCUCUAAUGAAAAGAACAUUCUUCAGACAAACAAAAAAAGAUGGGAAUUCUCCAAGACAGAGGUUCAUUUUCCUGAACUAAAUUAUCACCUCCCUGAGGUCAGAGGAAUCGAAGGCAUACGUACCAGGGUCCUCCCUGCCAGAUGCUCAAGAGGCCAGCUUCCCUCAAGUAGAACACCCAAACUGAGGAACAUUGAGGGCCUGCAUCAUGAUUGUACUCCAAAAUCCAGCAUGACAAGUUCCAGGAAUGAGACUAUUAACAUCCUGGGAGAAGAACGACAUGGGAUAGAAUAUAUCCCAUUGAAUUGCCUUGUUUUUCCUGGGAGCAACACUAUGGAAAUGAAAGGGGAACAAAAGGACAAUGGUUUUUCAUUGUAUUUAAAACAAAUUCAACAUUUGCCUACUAUCACAACAUUACCCCCUCCAUCUUGGUAAAUCUGUUUCAAGAUACCUCUGAAUGCAGAGGGGGGUUUCUAGCUGCAUGAAUAAUCAUUUACUGGUAGGGUGAAGAACUAACUAAAUUUACUAGGUCCGAAUGGGGUAGGGGAGUGUGAGAUAAAAUAUGAGUUUUCAAAGAGAAAUAUAUAUUUUUUAAAAAGUUGAUGUUACAAAUGUGUUGAAGUCUCUAUUAUCUUUGUAAAUAUAUAUGCACAUAUAUAUGUAUGUAUAUAUUUGUUUGGGGGCGAGAUUGUGAAGCAAUGACAAAGAGUGGGAGGUCACGAAAAUGCCCUUCUUGGUCUUUCCCACUUCAUUCUUCAAUUACAAAAUACAUUAAAAAUUUAAUUAUUCCUUGGCAUUGCGGUUGUGUUGAUUCUUCCUCCUUGAAUACACACCUAUCAGUGUGCUUUCUGUGGCUUGUAUAGACAUAUGAUUAAUAUUUCAUAAAAAUCUGGUCUUCUUUGGCCCUUCCAAUUAUCCUCCAUACAGGGGACCACAAAAGUACAAUUCUGGCGAAGAGAAAAAUCUUUUGUCAGCUGCCAAUGUCUUUAUAUAAUCCUGAUAUUGUAUACAGCUCUCUUUGUUUUAAGACAUUGGAAGUGUUAAAUCUUCAAUAAGAGACUAUGGUUGGAGAACAGAAGAGGGGAAAUUAUGUUAACUAUGUUUUAGAAGUAAUUAAAAUGCAAAUAGUCUGAUAUCACUUAUUUUUUAAAUUUCUGUAACAACUCUGGGAAUAAAUGUUUUGAAUUAUUCCUCUCUGAUAAUGGAGGGACAUUUUAAUAAACCUCUCCAACCCCCUUCAUCCAAUUCCAGGUACUCUCUGGGUCUAACUGUGUGCCCAGCUAAGUUCUAGUGCCUUACUGUCAGCAGGGUGGGAAGUCGUGGGACCCUCUUUAAGCCCUUUUGUGUUCAUCUCCUUGCUGGCCCCCUUUCCUUGAGUUAUCUGUCUGAACAGGUGUGUCUCAAACCAGAGUAGAGCAUCCAGCUGGCCUGGUCCAUCAGAGCUCACCCAUAUGGCAAAGGCAAUGGAAGCAGCAGUUUCCCCUCUGUUCCAGUGAUAUCAAGACAUCUUUCCUCCAACUCUUCAAGAUGUUUAUGGUUUGUUCGUAGCACUUAGCAUCAGCAUUCAUGCAAGGACUUGGAAGCAGUAUCAUUUGGAGAAAGACAGGUCUGCUCAUCUUAUACGACAUGAUCCGAGCCUCCAGAAAUGAAGAAUAGAUCUAUGUCUCUCACUUACCCUCCACUGCCCCAGAGCCUUACAUCCAGAGGACAAAGAACUGCAAGAGGUACUUGAUCAACUAUCUAUGUCCUAGGGGGCAGAGUGUGGCUACCUUGGGGGGUGAGGAGGGAAUGAGAGAGAAUUCUCCUAAAAGAACCUUGGACCAGCCAGUGCUGGAGCCUACACCAAAGGGCAAAAGAUAAAAAGACGUGGUCUGCUUCUGCGUGUGUGGGGGCAAACCCAGUGAUUGAAAGGCUUGAGUAGCUUCCUAUCCUUUAAUUGGUCACUCAUUGGAUUUUACUGGAAGGAGGACAGGAAAGCAGUAGUUCAGAAUAGGUGAAAAUUUCUCCCAAUAUUUAAUAUCCUUCCAUUCAUUGAUAUUACCAUUAGUUUUGAGAUUUUCUUUCUAUGGGAGAUAAAUGCCCUGAGAGACGUUUAACAAGUCACAUGUAGUUACUGUCAGUUUCUUCACUGCUGACUAAAGGUACCAAGGCUAGGUUUCCCCUUUGGUUUCCCAGUUGCUCAUUAAAUUUAGAACCCAAACUGUAUCAUUUAUAGAAAAACACUGAAACUUUCUUCCUCCGCUGGAGAUCUGGCUCCUUUCAUUUCUGCUUCAGAAGAGUAGGAAUUUCUCUUUUCCUUCUGUAUUCCUCUGAGGAGCUUGAGGAUUUUCUUCUGGGGAAGUACUUGUGAUUGUGGGCACCUCUCCGAGGCAGGAGGAAUGGGUGACGACAGCGGUGGUGAGGUGGUAAGUGAGCAUGGUGACCGUAGAAUGGAUGUUUGAAAGGAUAGUUGGGGAACCCAAAGCCCACUCUGGGUUUUCUGAAAUGAGGAAAAUGGCACCAUCUGGUUGCUAUGGUGACAGGCUUGGAGGUUGUUAGGGGAGGCCGGGUAGCAGGGGGAGGAGUGAGUGUAAAGAUUUGACAGUCUGUAGGAUUCACUUUAGGUUCUGAUGCUCCAAAGGGCUUAUAGCUGUUUCUUUGACCUGAAAAAACAAACAUAUGUAUUCGUAUUUUCCAGGUUUUAGGCUUGUGGAAGAACACAGCUUUGCCAAAAUCAACAGAAGAUCAAGGUAGAGAGUUGUUAGAGAUUUGGAAAGGAUAGAUAGAGUAGUAAAAGAGAAGAGAAAGGGGAGAUUUGUAAAAGAUGCUAUUAAAAUUGCCAUGGAUCAAGGCUACUUGGGUUGCUUUAGGAAGCAGAUGUUUACAUGUGUCUGGUAUAGGAAAGAGAAUGCAAAUGACUUUUUUAAUGGUAAUAAUAUUAGGUAUGUAUACACCUAAGGCAAAAUUUGAAGUAUGCCUGUAUUUUAGAAAGAAAGAAUUGCCCUCUAUUUUUUCUAAGUAGAGAGCUAUCCUCUUUACUUAAAUUUAAGGAAAUUAAGGGAAAACUCUUGCCAAGGAUACAGUCCAGGUAACCUGACUGGA